GACUCUGUGGCACAACGGUAGCGCGUCUGACUCCAGAUCAGAAGGUUGCGUGUUCAAAUCACGUCAGGGUCA
rfam:Biomphalaria glabrata isolate BB02 unplaced genomic scaffold LGTN_random_Scaffold8033, whole genome shotgun sequence.